rnacentral:lncRNA from 1 species
UGAUCUCCAGGACCUGCUGGGUCUUGAAGGCGUCCUUGCUCCCCAGGGCGGAGGUGCUGGCCCCGAUGAAAAGCGCUUGCUCGGCGGCCAGCAUGAGCAUGGCGUGCCGGACGAUCUCCCCCAGGUAGAGGCCGCCCACCAUCUUCUCAAACCUGCGUGUGGUGGGAGUCAGCCCCCUCCCCAGCACGGCCCCACCACCCCCAGCCCUCUCAGAGCACCACGGGGGGGUCCAUUCGCUCCUGCUGGCGUCCCCAUCGCUCCGAGGAGACCCCCGGGGAACCCCCCCCUCCCUUGCUGCACCUCCUCUCCCCAGGGUUGGAGGACUCCUGGUCCACGCGGUGGUCGUAGGGGGUGAGCACAUCGUUGAGGGCGCCGUCAUCCCCGAAGCAGCCCCACUCGCUGUUGACGCACAUCCUGCCGUUGUUCUCCUCCACCACCUCCACCAGCUGCGCCUCGGCCAUGAAGCAGCUGUUGGUGCCCGUGCCUGGGGGGGUGGGAGCGAGGUUUGGGGGGGUGCUGAGCGCCGACGCAGCCCCCCCCCAGCAGCGCCGUGCCGCCCCCCGUGGCACCCGCUGCUCACCCAUCACCAGGGCGAUCUCGCAGGGCUUCCCCCCCCAGCUGCUGGCCAUCAUGGUGCCCACGGUGUCGUUGAGCAGGGCGAUGACUUCCACAGUGGUAGACCUCCAGCUUGUUGAUGGCUGCCUGCAGCAGCUGCACCACGUCCUUGCCCUCCACGUCGCUGCACUGGAAGCCCUUGGACCAGGAGAUGAGCUCGGCCUGCACAGAGCACGGGGGGCGAGCUGUUGGCCAUCGGCUCGGGGAUGUCUCUGUCCCCCCCCCCGGCGAGCUGCCCCGCUCACCUUGCCCAGCCCCGUCUGCCUGCAGCUGAACGGGAAGACGAAGCCCACGGGGAGGCGAUGCUGGGGGUUGCCGAUUUCCUCCAGGAACUUUUGCACGCAUUGAGGCGACGAAGUCAAAGAGCUGCGAAGGCAGCGGGUGAGCAGCUGCCCCCCUGCCCCAGCACCCCGGGGUGCAGGAGGUGGUCGGAGCCCUGCGGUACCAUGAUCCCCCCCCCCCCCGUACCGCUUCGCCGGUGCCCUGCAGCUUGUCCACUGGCAGCUCGAAGGACCUUGUACAUCAGCUGGGGGCUCUGGUUUCCGUCGCCCAGCAGGGUCACGAACAGGGUGCGGACGUGGCUCUGGCACAGCUCCACCACCAUGAGGUCGCCCUUCUCUACGGGGCAGCAGUGGCAGCGUCGGGCAGAGACCAGCCCCCGAUCUGCC